rnacentral:lncRNA from 1 species
GCUAUCUUAAAUCAAAAUAUAUUGAAAAUGUGCUGAAAUAGGGCGUGUUAAAUUCUGAAAUAGGGCGUACUUGAAAAGCUUUCUGAGAUGGUGCGUUUUCGAACUGGCUGCCGAGAUAGGUCGAUCUUACACUCAGGUGUCGAUGUGUUCUUAUUAAUGAAUAUAAAAUUUUAGGAUCUUUGUAAACUUUGACUAAUAAUUUCAUAUUUUUCAUGUUUAAGUAAAGCGAUAUUAACUUAAAUUUAAUUUUAGAAAAUUCGCCCGCAUUCACGUUGUUCGAUAAAGCUUGUAUCUCAGUUUAUUUACCACUACUCUUAAACUUCACACACCAUCACAACUUCAUGCAUCGGAAACAUCGAUGUUUGCUAUUCGAUGCAUCGAAUAAAACCGAUGUUUUGGACCUUCCGAUAUAUAUCGAUGUACUUUUUUUCGAUGCAUCGACUUUUGUGUGCAUUGUACACUGUACAUAUUAAAAUUAUUAUGUAUGCUUCCAAACUCUUUGCUCUAGUAACUUUUCUAAAUGUGGAAAUUUCAUUAUUUAUGCACAAUUAGAAUAUACACUAUAUGAAUAAUAUGCAAAAUGCAUGAGUUAUUUGCAUUAAUAAAUUGCUAAUUUAAUAGUAGAAACUUUUAGUGCCAAACAACCAUCUUCAAAAUGAUAUUAAUGGAUUUGAUAUUGACACACUAAAACCCUUUAGAAAUUUGGCAGAAUUUAAACAGCAAUUUCCAAAAUUGUUUCACAUAGCUUAUAAACAUAGUGCAAUAAUAUAAAGUGAUGUACUCUUACAUCAAAGAAAUAUUUGAGAUUGUUGUUUUCGCUUUUUUCAAUUCUGGCAUUGACCUUUGGUUUUGUUGCACACCUCUGCCCGAUUUCGGCUUAAGUCCUCAUCCUGAGGGUAUGAAAACAUCAGUACUGCAACGUUAUGUGUGCUUUUGCAGUGAAAAAUUUGCACAAGCGGCAAGAAUUUCUUUACAUGUUUUUUUUUUAAUUUUUUUAUCAAAUCAAAAAACUUCAUAAGUUAUCACUCAAAACGGUGUCACAUGAAAGAAAAAAUUAUGAUAAUAAAUUACCAAAGUGUACCGAAAUGGAAUCUCUUUGCUAGCUGGCACACUUUAUAUUAUUUUACUAGGCUUAUUGUCGCCACUUCAGCACCUUCCGAAAACUUUUUUCGAAAGCUUCUCAAACGACAAAAAAAAACUGGAAUUGGAACUAUUUAAAUCAAUAAAUACAUUUCACCGUUAGUUAAUACUUAAACUUUUAUCGACGCUCCGAUUGUCUCACUUUCUUGUUGUAUAUUUUUAAUUGAAAGAACCUGUUGAUAUUUUCAUUCGAUGCAUCGCAAAUAUCGAUGCUUUUAUACGAUAUAUCGAUAUGAUUCGAUGCUAUGUUUCCAUGCAUCAAAUGGAAAAAAACAUCGAUGUAUUUUUUUGACUUGCAUCCCUAAUAAAAAGCGAAGGCGAAGUUUUUUGAGCCUAUUCCGAAUAUAAAUUUUUUGUAGCUCGUUAAAUAUCUCCGUUAUAUGAGGGUUUUCGAAUUGCAGAAAAACAAGCAGCUACAUACGUAUAUGGACCAAUCGUACACUGUGCGGCGUAAUCACAGGACAUUGAUUUUGCACCAAGGCUCGAACAACGUUGAAUACCGACAAAUUCUCUCUUAAGCAAUUGGUCCAACAGGUUAAAGCCUUGAUUAUUCGUGCUGUUCGCUUUGUUAAAGGAACUCCGGUUAGAGGAAUGUGAUUAAUUUUUCAAACGGGAAAAUCUAGCUUUCUAGUAUGUCCCAGUUCUGCCGAGAGUACUACUAUAGGAUUUUUGUUUACUACUUUUUUGUCAUUUGUGUGGACGGUAGCCAAACACCAUAAAUCAGUAAUUAUAUUGACUUCACAGCUUUGAACUGGCGACAAUCGUGCCACAUCCGAGAGGAUGUGUGAGUGUGGCUUUUUCGGAAACAAAUAUUCUAUGUACGUAACAGCGCGGUAAGAUGCCGCAUAAAUUUGCGACUGGCGAUUUUAUCCACUGGUGCACUGCUACUUACCACCACUAAAAAUAAGCAGAAACUGUGUUUGUAUGUAUCGUCAUCGUCAGCAAACUAAACCAGCAAUUAUCUAAAUUCCUCAAGGAAAUAUAUUAGAAUUCAACAAGUAAAGGCCAACAUAGUUCCAUAUAGAAAACAGCGUCCUCUCUAAACGUGAUGCAUCGUUUGUACUUGGCAAGCAUGUAAACAUUCGAUUGUUUCUUUUAUUAGAGUAUAAGUAUAAUUACAAUUAUACAUAUAUGCACACAGAUGAGUAUGAAUGUAUAAUACAUAUAACUUAGUUAAAAUUAAACUAAAAAGAAAUACUGAAAAAGACAUUGCAAUUGUUAUGACAGACGAGGUACUAACUAUUGUCCAAAUGUACAUACACAAGCGAAAUAUAUGUAAAUGUACACAUGUA